rnacentral:rRNA from 1 species
GACGAACGCUGGCGGCGUGCUUAACACAUGCAAGUCGAACGGAAAGGCCCUGCUUUUGUGGGGUGCUCGAGUGGCGAACGGGUGAGUAACCCGUGAGUAACCUGCCCUUGACUUUGGGAUAACUUCAGGAAACUGGGGCUAAUACCGGAUAGGAGCUCCUGCUGCAUGGUGGGGGUUGGAAAGUUUCGGCGGUUGGGGAUGGACUCGCGGCUUAUCAGCUUGUUGGUGGGGUAGUGUCUUACCAAGGCUUUGACGGGUAGCCGGGCUGAGAGGGUGACCGGCCACAUUGGGACUGAGAUACGGCCCAGACUCCUACGGGAGGCAGCAGUGGGGAAGAUUGCACAAUGGGCGGAAGCCUGAUGCAGCAACGCCGCGUGCGGGAUGACGGCCUUCGGGUUGUAAACCGCUUUCGCCUGUGACGAAGCGUGAGUGACGGUAAUGGGUAAAGAAGCACCGGCUAACUACGUG